rnacentral:rRNA from 1 species
AUUGAACGCUGGCGGCAGGCCUAACACAUGCAAGUCGAACGAGUGGCGGACGGGUGAGUAAUGUCUGGGAAACUGCCCGAUGGAGGGGGAUAACUACUGGAAACGGUAGCUAAUACCGCAUACCAUCGGAUGUGCCCAGGUGGGAUGAGCUUGUAGGUGUGGUAACGGCUCACCCAGGCGACGAUCCCUAGCUGGGCUGAGAGGAUGACCGGCAACACUGGAAAUGAGACACGGGCCAGAAUCCUACGGGAGGCAGCAGGUGGGAAUCUUGCACAAUGGGCGUAAGCCUGAUGCAGCCAUGCCGCGUGUAUGAAGAAGGCCUUCGGGUUGUAAAGUACUUUCAGCGGGGAGGCGUUACCCGAAGAAGAAGCACCGGCUAACUCCGUGCCAGCAGCCGCGGUAAUAC